GCUGAGUUGUUUUAUCUGAAAUUCAACUCGCUUAACCAUUUUUUUCUACCACAUCUUGUAAUGGCAGGUGUAUAGACAGUGUGUUUUUAUUGUCCUCGUCCAAUUAAGCUUCAAUGACAGAGCUGCAGCCUGCCGCACGCUUUGAGUGCCAGAGGGCGCACGUGUGCACGAGCAAGGUCAGCCCAGCCAACUGAAGUCUGAACCCUUGUGCUUCGAGGACUACCUAUCAUACCUGGAGAUGAUGACUCUGGUUUCUUUAAGUCAUGUUUAGUGUCUGAUCAUCGCAACUCUAUCAUUGAUGUGCCUGUGGGGAUCUUAUUCGAAUACACCAAUCUUCAGCCCCCCAAUUCCUUGCAUUUGUCUUCCUCUAUUGGGAUACUACUUGAAGGUCAGAUGGUGAUGGACAAAAUGCAGGACCUCCCACAAGCAAAGUGUCUUC